rnacentral:rRNA from 1 species
UACGUAGGGGGCAAGCGUUGUCCGGAAUCAUUGGGCGUAAAGCGCGCGUAGGCGGCCCUGUAAGUCCGUUGUGAAAGUCAAAGGCUCAACCUUUGAAAGCCGAUGGAUACUGCAGGGCUAGAGUCCGGAAGAGGCGAGUGGAAUUCCUGGUGUAGCGGUGGAAUGCGCAGAUAUCAGGAGGAACACCAAUAGCGAAGGCAG